rnacentral:sRNA from 1 species
UGACUUGUGACGAAGAUGCAUGAUUGUGG